UUCUAAAGUAUUGAGUUCAGCUCAGGGCAACUCCCUCUGUUUAUUAAACAUAGGGACACUGAAAUACUGAUUUGGCAAAAUGAUUGGAUAGUCGGUUUUGCUCUAUUCAUUUAUCCUAAACACAUACAC
ensembl:snoRNA